rnacentral:rRNA from 1 species
UACUACGGGAGGCAGCAGUGGGGAAUCUUGGACAAUGGGGGCAACCCUGAUCCAGCCAUGCCGCGUGAGUGAUGAAGGCCUUAGGGUCGUAAAGCUCUUUCGCCUGUGAAGAUAAUGACGGUAGCAGGUAAAGAAACCCCGGCUAACUCCGUGCCAGCAGCCGCGGUAAUACGGAGGGGGUUAGCGUUGUUCGGAAUUACUGGGCGUAAAGCGCACGUAGGCGGACUGGAAAGUUGGGGGUGAAAUCCCAGGGCUCAACCCUGGAACUGCCUCCAAAACUAUCAGUCUAGAGUUCGAGAGAGGUGAGUGGAAUUCCAAGUGUAGAGGUGAAAUUCGUAGAUAUUUGGAGGAACACCAGUGGCGAAGGCGGCUCACUGGCUCGAUACUGACGCUGAGGUGCGAAAGUGUGGGGAGCAAACAGGAUUAGAUACCCUGGUAGUCCACACCGUAAACGAUGAAUGCCAGUCGUCGGGUAGCAUGCUAUUCGGUGACACACCUAACGGAUUAAGCAUUCCGCCU